GAUCAUGGCUCAGGAUGAACGCUAGCUACAGGCUUAACACAUGCAAGUCGAGGGGCAGCAUGGUCUUAGCUUGCUAAGGCCGAUGGCGACCGGCGCACGGGUGAGUAACGCGUAUCCAACCUGCCUUACACCCUUGGACAGCCUUCUGAAAGGGGGAUUAAUACAAGAUGUUAUCAUGAGUAAGCAUUUUCGCAUGAUUAAAGGUUUACCGGUGUAAGAUGGGGAUGCGUUCCAUUAG
rnacentral:rRNA from 1 species